GAGGGGGACUAAAUACCUCAAAUGCACCAGAUCCCAUCUGAUCUUGGAAGCUAAGCAGGGUUAACUCAAGAUAUUACUUGGAUGAGAAACCUACAACAUAUUCCAGGUGCUUUAAGGUAUUUCUCA
rnacentral:rRNA from 11 species